GGCGUUAAGUUGCAGGGUAUAGACCCGAAACCCGGUGAUCUAGCCAUGGGCAGGUUGAAGGUUGGGUAACACUAACUGGAGGACCGAACCGACUAAUGUUGAAAAAUUAGCGGAUGACCUGUGGCUGGGGGUGAAAGGCCAAUCAAACCGGGAGAUAGCUGGUUCUCCCCGAAAGCUAUUUAGGUAGCGCCUCGUGAAUUCAUCUCCGGGGGUAGAGCACUGUUUCGGCUAGGGGGCCAUCCCGGCUUACCAACCCGAUGCAAACUGCGAAUACCGGAGAAUGUUAUCACGGGAGACACACGGCGGGUGCUAACGUCCGUCGUGAAGAGGGAAACAACCCAGACCGCCAGCUAAGGUCCCAAAGUCAUGGUUAAGUGGGAAACGAUGUGGGAAGGCCCAGACAGCCAGGAUGUUGGCUUAGAAGCAGCCAUCAUUUAAAGAAAGCGUAAUAGCUCACUGGUCGAGUCGGCCUGCGCGGAAGAUGUAACGGGGCUAAACCAUGCACCGAAGCUGCGGCAGCGACACUCAGGUGU
rnacentral:rRNA from 1 species